ensembl:snRNA U6 U6 spliceosomal RNA
GUGCUUGCUUAAGCAGCACAUAUACUAAAAUUGGGAAGAUAGAGAUUAGCAUGGCUUCUGCGCAAGGAUGACACACACAUUCGUGAAGCGCUCCCUAUUUUU